rnacentral:rRNA from 1 species
AGUUUGAUCCUGGCUCAGGAUGAACGCUGGCGGCGCGCCUAACACAUGCAAGUCGAACGGCACCCCUCUCCGGAGGGAAGCGAGUGGCGAACGGCUGAGUAACACGUGGAGAACCUGCCCCCUCCCCCGGGAUAGCCGCCCGAAAGGACGGGUAAUACCGGAUACCCCGGGGUGCCGCAUGGCACCCCGGCUAAAGCCCCGACGGGAGGGGAUGGCUCCGCGGCCCAUCAGGUAGACGGCGGGGUGACGGCCCACCGUGCCGACAACGGGUAGCCGGGUUGAGAGACCGACCGGCCAGAUUGGGACUGAGACACGGCCCAGACUCCUACGGGAGGCAGCAGUGGGGAAUCUUGCGCAAUGGGGGGAACCCUGACGCAGCGACGCCGCGUGCGGGACGGAGGCCUUCGGGUCGUAAACCGCUUUCAGCAGGGAAGAGUCAAGACUGUACCUGCAGAAGAAGCCCCGGCUAACUACGUGCCAGCAGCCGCGGUAAUACGUAGGGGGCGAGCGUUAUCCGGAUUCAUUGGGCGUAAAGCGCGCGUAGGCGGCCCGGCAGGCCGGGGGUCGAAGCGGGGGGCUCAACCCCCCGAAGCCCCCGGAACCUCCGCGGCUUGGGUCCGGUAGGGGAGGGUGGAACACCCGGUGUAGCGGUGGAAUGCGCAGAUAUCGGGUGGAACACCGGUGGCGAAGGCGGCCCUCUGGGCCGAGACCGACGCUGAGGCGCGAAAGCUGGGGGAGCGAACAGGAUUAGAUACCCUGGUAGUCCCAGCCGUAAACGAUGGACGCUAGGUGUGGGGGGACGAUCCCCCCGUGCCGCAGCCAACGCAUUAAGCGUCCCGCCUGGGGAGUACGGCCGCAAGGCUAAAACUCAAAGGAAUUGACGGAA